UCAGCUCGAGUUAGGGUAAAAAAGGAAGUAUGGACCUUGAGUAAUAUUGUGGCGUCCCCUCCCUCUCCCACGGCAACGGCUGUCGCCGACGCAUGUCUGAAUCCGAUCUCUGUCGAGACAUUUACGAAACACAAUUUUUAGAGGUACUUUGUUACUGCAACUGCGAUACGGCAUAAUUCUUGCGAUGGAGCAGGGAAGCAGCUGUUUCUUUUCCAAUGUGGGAUGCCUAAACUUUGCGAUUUUGCUGAUAAUUGCUGCUUCUACCUUGCUUUUGUUCCGGAUUCUGUAUGUUAUAUACCGAAGCACCAAACAAUUACACAAUAGACCUCCAGGACCUCUGAGUACAUUGAUAGUUCUAGGUUCAGGUGGUCACACAGCGGAGAUGCUAAACCUGUUAGCUGUUAUGCAGAUGGAUAGAUUUAAACCUAGAUACUAUAUCGCUGCUGCCACUGAUAACAUGAGCCUUCAGAAAGCUCGUGUCAUGGAGGACACCUUGAAGAGCAAGGUAAAAUACCUUUAGCUACUCCACGUGUAUGAUAUUCUACCUUUUAUAUAUGGUUACGCGGUUCUUUGUAUGUUCAGUUUACAUGUAAAUGGAACAUCAGGCAGAUUGUGAGAUUGGAAUUAUUCUUAUUUUUUUUCAUACAUAACAUGUGGGAUAGAAAUGUGGACGUACUUUGUACUUGACUUUGGGAUAGACUGCUGUAAUGUUGUGAGAUACAUGAGAUAAAUAUGGAUGUGUAAA